rnacentral:lncRNA from 1 species
UGAGAACAUAGAGUCCCAAUACUGUGUACAAAUGUUACUUGGAUUAGUUGUUGCUAAUAAAGCAUGCACUGCUGCCCGUCCUUAUAUAGAAGGCUAUCAUCGCAGAUAAUGACUACCAAGGUAAUUGGACCUGUCACACCUUGCAGCCUGGUUUCCAGCUUAUGGGAGAAAGGUUUGCAUCCCAGAGCUGAAGAAAUGGGUUCGCGUUCAAUGAGAUGAAGCCAUUUUGAAAAGGUUGUCCACGUAAUAUAUCUCUUAUAAUAAACCCAACUUCUGUCUUUU